rnacentral:rRNA from 1 species
GACGAACGCUGGCGGCGUGCUUAACACAUGCAAGUCGAACGGAAAGGCCCUGCUUUUGUGGGGUGCUCGAGUGGCGAACGGGUGAGUAACACGUGAGUAACCUGCCCUUGACUUUGGGAUAACUUCAGGAAACUGGGGCUAAUACCGGAUAGGAGCUCCUGCUGCAUGGUGGGGGUUGGAAAGUUUCGGCGGUUGGGGAUGGACUCGCGGCUUAUCAGCUUGUUGGUGGGGUAGGGGCUUACCAAGGCUUUGACGGGUAGCCGGCCUGGGAGGGUGACCGGCCACCUUGGGACUAAGGUACGGCGCAGACUCCUACGGGAGGCAGCAGUGGGAAAUAUUGCACAGUGGGCGGAAGCCUGAUGCAGCAACGCCGCGUGCGGGAUGACGGCCUUCGGGUUGUGAACCGCUUUCGCCUGUGACGAAGCGUGAGUGACGGUAAUGGGUAAAGAAGCACCGGCUAACUACGUG